rnacentral:rRNA from 1 species
UACGUAGGGUGCAAGCGUUGUCCGGAAUUAUUGGGCGUAAAGAGCUCGUAGGCGGUUUGUCGCGUCGGCUGUGAAAUCCUGAGGCUCAACCUCAGGCCUGCAGUCGAUACGGGCAGACUUGAGUGUUGCAGGGGAGACUGGAAUUCCUGGUGUAGCGGUGAAAUGCGCAGAUAUCAGGAGGAACACCGGUGGCGAAGGCGGGUCUCUAGGCAACAACUGACGCUGAGGAGCGAAAGCGUGAGGAGCGAACAGG